ACUUCUUUUGCCUCCUUCUCCUUGUAGAUGCAGCAUGUGUGGUGCUGUUUCUCCUCCUCCUUCAAGAUUGCCACUCUCAUAGUGAAUGUCUAAGCUGAUACCAGCUAUCCUAGCUGUGGAGGCUAGGACUUAACUGAGAUGGAUCGUGGGCUUUGAGGUGCACCUCUGGCCUCUGGACAGACGGGUCUUGCUCAAACAAGUGGCAGCUAUGUCAGCUUUGCUACUGUGUCUCCUGCUUUGGUAGCUGCUACUGUAGCAGAAAACGCGUCUCUUGCUAAAGCUGCUGGAGGAGAUCCAGGAGAACAUCAGGAACCCAGAAAGUGAUCGUUGACAGAAGAUAGAGCUUUAGACCAUUGUAUUUAGAAUAGACAUCCAUUCCAGGAUUCACCUGCAAAGGAUUGCAGAAAUUGACCAGUCUGGGCUCUCUGAAAGCAUGGGCAGUGCCCAGGUUUCCUUCUGUUCAUUUAUCUCUCUCCUUACUUCGUUUCCACCUCCCAACACCACCCUAGGAGGGGAACUGAUGGCCUCCCUCCCUAUGUGAGGUAGGCAGAUGGACACCCUGCAGGAAUACCACCACACUAGCAGCUGCCCCCCAGUGCAUCUUCUUUCCAUAUUUAGACUCAUUAUUGUUGUCUUUCCUCCAACUCUGCUCCCCCAAGUCCUAGUUUCCUGUGUGGCAAAUCUCAGAAAAAAUAAUGCAGCUUUUUAGGAAGGAAUAGUUUUGGUGUACAAGGGGACUCUUCAUUAUUCCCAAAGCAAGGGACUCACUGCAGUGGACUGUCUUUUUGUGCCCUGUUCUUUCAAGCCCAGAAGGACAUCCCUGGCUACUCCCCAGUCAAUAGGCAAUAGACAAAAAGGUCUUUGCCUUUGCUGAGCUGCUUCUCUGCCUGGAUAAACUCUCUCUGGGGCCUAUAGCAUGCUCUGUGAAUGUAAGCCCAGCUACAGCUGCUCUUAAAUAAGGAAAGAGUACAUGGCUGUAGGAAAUUAUGGAUUUGAUUAACAGCCCCAUAUGCUCUUGAUACAGGAAUCCAGCCCGUGGCAAGGAGUAUGGAACUAGAUGAUCUUUAACAUCCAUUCCAACCUAGGUCAUUCUGACUAUGAAUUGUCCCUUGGUGUGGGUAGAGCUGUUCUAGGAUAGGAGGCUUGGACAGAAGAUGGCACCAAAGAUAGCAAGAGUGGGUGAGGAUGGGGAGAUUAUAGUCCUGGGGACAGACUAAUACUCCAGGGGACAGUCCAUAGCCUCAUCUUCUUCCUCUCCAUCACCUGAUAUAAGAUUAAUGGCUAGCACACAUUGGCAUAGGCAGAUGGGAUAGGUAUUUCAUACAGUGUAACAGUACCUGUCAUGGUCCAACUGCUGCCCAGACAUGCAGUGUUGGGAUAAUUCACAAGUUAGUACUGAUAGCAGCCACAUCCAGGCUACACAAUAGAGUCUUCACUUUCUGUGAACCCAACAGCCCCAUGAGGUCUAGGAAAGCCACCAGUGCCCAAAGCCCCACAGCUUCUGUACAACACUUUGUUUCCCUAAGCCUGUAACAGCUUUCUUGGUCCCAGACCCCCUGAGGACACCCACUAACUAAUUCAGUCUCUACUCUAAAAGAGUUUCUGUGCAAGAGUAGUAAUUAGCUUGAGUUUCACUGUGCCACUUGGAUGAUAGUGGAACAAGCUUUUGCCCCCAGCCCCUGCUCUCCUCUGGGUCACUCUUACAAUGGCUGGUGUUUAUGGGCACCAUCUGGGCCAAAUCCUGGGCACAUCAGAGGCUUUGACUAGGAGCAACCACUGAGGCAGACACACACAUUGAGAGCUCUGGAACUUCAUUCACUAGAGGAAGAGAUAAAACCCAUUUUUAUGACUCAAUUGCACAUAGCUAGAGCAUGGACUGCAUAGGCAACAACAGAAUGCAGUGGGGACAAGUGCAGCUCAGUAUUAACUCCACCUCUUGCACUCACCACAAAUAUUCAGUCAAAUCAAAACCCGUAACUAUUAUAUGUUAUGUGCUCUUGUGCCACUUAGUGAGUAAAACAUAGUGAUAAUAAUAUUUCAACCUACCUCCACACAUGUGUACCCGUGAAGACAUAUUUUUGUUAUUAAGCAGAUGUGUAGGUUUUCUCAUUUUAUUAUUAAACAUGGGCUGUGUUAUUUCAUAAAAUAAUUGAAUAAGGUAACAUGUUCACUGCCAAAGAAAUAUCCAGAGUACUCAUGCAAUGCUGGCAAAUUUUUUAAAUCUUCAAUAUUUGUAAUGUGUUUUAAUUAGUUUUG
ensembl:lncRNA